rnacentral:rRNA from 1 species
GAUGAACGCUGGCGGCGUGCUUAACACAUGCAAGUCGAACGGUGAAGGCGGAGCUUGCUCUGCUGGAUCAGUGGCGAACGGGUGAGUAACACGUGAGCAAUCUGCCCCUGACUCUGGGAUAAGCGCUGGAAACGGCGUCUAAUACUGGAUACGAGCUGCGAAGGCAUCUUCAGCAGCUGGAAAGAAGUUCGGUCAGGGAUGAGCUCGCGGCCUAUCAGCUUGUUGGUGAGGUAAUGGCUCACCAAGGCGUCGACGGGUAGCCGGCCUGAGAGGGUGACCGGCCACACUGGGACUGAGACACGGCCCAGACUCCUACGGGAGGCAGCAGUGGGGAAUAUUGCACAAUGGGCGAAAGCCUGAUGCAGCAACGCCGCGUGAGGGACGACGGCCUUCGGGUUGUAAACCUCUUUUAGCAGGGAAGAAGCGAAAGUGACGGUACCUGCAGAAAAAGCGCCGGCUAACUACGUG